rnacentral:rRNA from 1 species
GAUGAACGCUGGCGGCGUGCCUAAUACAUGCAAGUCGAGCGAACGGACGAGAAGCUUGCUUCUCUGAUGUUAGCGGCGGACGGGUGAGUAACACGUGGAUAACCUACCUAUAAGACUGGGAUAACUUCGGGAAACCGGAGCUAAUACCGGAUGAUAUUUUGAUCCGCAUGGUUCAAAAGUGAAAGACGGUCUUGCUGUCACUUAUAGAUGGAUCCGCGCUGCAUUAGCUAGUUGGUAAGGUAACGGCUUACCAAGGCAACGAUGCAUAGCCGACCGGAGAGGGUGAUCGGCCACACGGGAACUGAGACACGGUCCAGGCGCCUAAGGGAGGCAGCAGUAGGGAAUCUUCCGCAAUGGGCGAAAGCCUGACGGAGCAACGCCGCGUGAGUGAUGAAGGUCUUCGGAUCGUAAAGCUCUGUUAUUAGUGAAGAACAUAUGUGUAAGUAACUGUGCACAUCUUGACGGUACCUAAUCAGAAAGCCACGGCUAACUACGUG